rnacentral:rRNA from 1 species
UACGUAGGGACCAAGCGUUGUUCGGAUUUACUGGGCGUAAAGGGCGCGUAGGCGGCGCGGUAAGUCACUUGUGAAAUCUCUGAGCUUAACUCAGAACGGCCAAGUGAUACUGCAGUGCUAGAGUGUGGAAGGGGCAAUCGGAAUUCUUGGUGUAGCGGUGAAAUGCGUAGAUAUCAAGAGGAACACCUGAGGUGAAGACGGGUUGCUGGGCCAACACUGACGCUGAUGCGCGAAAGCCAGGGGAGCGAACAGG